rnacentral:rRNA from 1 species
CCUUCGGAGCCGACGAGUGGCGGACGGGUGAGUAACGCGUAGGAAUCUGCCUUAUAGUGGGGGACAACGUGGGGAAACCCACGCUAAUACCGCAUACGCCCUACGGGGGAAAGGAGGGGAUCUUCGGACCUUUCGCUAUGAGAUGAGCCUGCGUUAGAUUAGCUAGUUGGUAGGGUAAAGGCCUACCAAGGCGACGAUCUAUAGCUGGUCUGAGAGGACGAUCAGCCGCACUGGGACUGAGACACGGCCCAGACUCCUACGGGAGGCAGCAGUGGGGAAUAUUGGACAAUGGGCGAAAGCCUGAUCCAGCAAUACCGCGUGUGUGAAGAAGGCCUUAGGGUUGUAAAGCACUUUCAAUUGGGAGGAAAACCUGUCGGUCAAUACCCGGCAGCUUGACAUUACCUUUAGAAGAAGCACCGGCUAACUCCGUGCCAGCAGCCGCGGUAAUACGGAGGGUGCGAGCGUUAAUCGGAAUUACUGGGCGUAAAGCGUGCGUAGGCGGUUCGUUAAGUCAGAUGUGAAAGCCCUGGGCUCAACCUGGGAACUGCAUUUGAAACUGGCGGACUAGAGUUUAGUAGAGGGGAGUGGAAUUUCAGGUGUAGCGGUGAAAUGCGUAGAUAUCUGAAGGAACACCAGUGGCGAAGGCGACUCCCUGGACUAGAACUGACGCUGAGGUACGAAAGCGUGGGUAGCAAACAGGAUUAGAUACCCUGGUAGUCCACGCCGUAAACGAUGUCGACUAGCCGUUGGUCCUAUUUACAGGAUUAGUGGCGCAGCUAACGCAUUAAGUCGACCGCCUGGGGAGUACGGCCGCAAGGUUAAAAACUCAAAUGAAUUGACGGGGGCCCGCACAAGCGGUGGAGCAUGUGGUUUAAUUCGAUGCACGCCGAUGCACGCGAAGAACCUUACCUACCCUUGACAUCCAAUGAAUC